UGUGAAUUUGUUUAAAUGUCUACUGUUUAAUUAAAUGAAUUUGAAGUGAGGUUAAAUGUAGUGAAAUAGCUUGUUGAAACGUUCGAAUUUUGUGAAUUUUUGAAAUUUAAAGUCGAAUAUCUCGUUUGCGGUACCUAUAACCAUAUAUAUUUUUUAAUCAGGCUUAAUAUACACCUAAAUAAUGUAUAUUUAAUUUAAAAAGUUGUGGUUUAGAGUGUGCAGAAGUGUGAAAUAUAUAAUUUGUGCGUAAUAUCUACAUAUACAUAUAUAGUAUAUAUAAAUACAUACAUGUGUAAAUGUAAAAAAAAAUUAAAAUCUAAAAUGAAACGAAUUGUGCGGUUACAAUUAUAAUUUGGUCGGCUUUAGAAUCCCGUCCCAGAAUUUCGGGAAUAAAAUGGGUAUGGUCGGAUAGAGGAGGUCGGAUAGAGAGGUCGGAUAGAAUAUAAUAUUUAGGUAUACUUGUAGAAUGAAUUUCGAUGACCUUGUGGAAGAAAUGGAUGCCGAAGUGGAAUGCUCACAACCGUUGAGCUCCCAUGGAGAUUGUAUUGAAGAUAAAUAUUUUGCAUUUUUUAAUAAUUUUUUUUACAGAUAAAGUGUUAACAAAAGAUAUGUUAUAAUCUCGGUUGCGCUUCAUCAGAAAAAACUUCAAAAAUUGUGGUACCGUCAACAUCGUCUGGUGGCAGCUAUAAUAUAUAAUCUAAAAGCUGGAUGCCAUUGAGACCCUGGUAGCAAAACUCAUAAGUGGUGUUGAUGACCGUCUCACUGCCAUUGAAAAGGCUAUUAACGACAAAGUAAUGCAGUUUUACAUUUACAAAAUAAAGC
rnacentral:lncRNA from 1 species